GCAGUCGUGGCCGAGUGGUUAAGGCAAUGGGCUAGAAAUCUAUUGGGGUCUCCCCGCACAGUUUCGAAUAAUGGCAACUGCG
rfam:Ixodes scapularis strain Wikel colony gcontig_1107728802820, whole genome shotgun sequence.